rnacentral:rRNA from 1 species
AUGCCUACGGGGCGCAGCAGUGGGGAAUAUUGCGCAAUGGGCGAAAGCCUGACGCAGCGACGCCGCGUGAGGGAUGAAGGUCUUCGGAUCGUAAACCUCUGUCAGCAGGGAAGAACGGUCACUGUGCUAAUCAGCAGUGAAUUGACGGUACCUGCAAAGGAAGCACCGGCUAACUCCGUGCCAGCAGCCGCGGUAAUACGUAGGGGGCGAGCGUUGUCCGGAAUCACUGGGCGUAAAGGGCGCGUAGGCGGUAAUAUAAGUCAGAUGUGAAAGGUGGGGGCUCAACCCCUAGAGUGCAACUGAUA